rnacentral:rRNA from 1 species
AACGAACGCUGGCGGCAGGCCUAACACAUGCAAGUCGAACGCUCCGCAAGGGGAGUGGCAGACGGGUGAGUAACACGUGGGAAUCUUCCUGUUGGUGCGGAAUAGCUCAGGGAAACUUGGGGUAAUACCGCAUAAGCCCGAGAGGGGAAAGAUUUAUCGCCGACAGAUGAGCCCGCGUCUGAUUAGCUAGUUGGUGAGGUAACGGCUCACCAAGGCGACGAUCAGUAGCUGGUCUGAGAGGAUGACCAGCCACACUGGGACUGAGACACGGCCCAGACUCCUACGGGAGGCAGCAGUGGGGAAUAUUGGACAAUGGGCGAAAGCCUGAUCCAGCAAUGCCGCGUGAGUGAUGAAGGCCUUAGGGUUGUAAAGCUCUUUUACCCGGGAAGAUAAUGACUGUUCCGGGAGAAUACGCCCCGGCUAACUCCGUGCCAGCAGCCGCGGUAAAAC